rnacentral:rRNA from 1 species
UCAGAUUGAACGCUGGCGGCAUGCCUUACACAUGCAAGUCGAACGGUAACAGGUCUUCGGACGCUGACGAGUGGCGAACGGGUGAGUAAUACAUCGGAACGUGCCCAGUCGUGGGGGAUAACUACUCGAAAGAGUAGCUAAUACCGCAUACGAUCUGAGGAUGAAAGCGGGGGACCUUCGGGCCUCGCGCGAUUGGAGCGGCCGAUGGCAGAUUAGGUAGUUGGUGGGAUAAAAGCUUACCAAGCCGACGAUCUGUAGCUGGUCUGAGAGGACGACCAGCCACACUGGGACUGAGACACGGCCCAGACUCCUACGGGAGGCAGCAGUGGGGAAUUUUGGACAAUGGGCGAAAGCCUGAUCCAGCAAUGCCGCGUGCAGGAUGAAGGCCUUCGGGUUGUAAACUGCUUUUGUACGGAACGAAAAAGCUCCUUCUAAUACAGGGGGCCCAUGACGGUACCGUAAGAAUAAGCACCGGCUAACUACGUGCCAGCAGCCGCGGUAAUACGUAGGGUGCGAGCGUUAAUCGGAAUUACUGGGCGUAAAGCGUGCGCAGGCGGUUAUGUAAGACAGAUGUGAAAUCCCCGGGCUCAACCUGGGAACUGCAUUUGUGACUGCAUGGCUAGAGUACGGUAGAGGGGGAUGGAAUUCCGCGUGUAGCAGUGAAAUGCGUAGAUAUGCGGAGGAACACCGAUGGCGAAGGCAAUCCCCUGGACCUGUACUGACG